GGGGUCGAUUUGGUUUUGACAGCGAGUCUAAUUGAAUGGUAAGCACGUCGAGCGCUGAGAUAUAGCUCGUAAAUCUCAUAUUUCAUCCUUUUUUAAACGGCGAGAAUAACUACGCCAUGGCUGCGUAAUCCGAAUCAUAGUAGGAUUAUCUUAAUCUCAUGCGAGGCAUGAGACCAUGAUGCCUCCGGAAAGCCUUGGUUUACGGCGGUCCAACAGGAGGCACCGUAAAAGUAAACAUAGCGACAGCAGGGCCUUGAUGCGGUCGUGAAUCUUAAUUGAGGAUAAGGUACUGCUUGGUAGUUGCCGACCGGGUAUUGCACGAAAAACAAUUGGCAAAUAAGCGUGUAGAAAGCUAUUGAAUUGCUUGUUUGGACGGCGGUUCGAGCCCGCCCGACUCCACUU
rnacentral:tmRNA from 1 species